rnacentral:rRNA from 1 species
UACAGAGGGGGCAAGCGUUUAUUCGGAAUUAUUGGGCGUAAAGGGCGCGUAGGCGGCUUGGCAAGUGGAUGGUGAAAUCCCUCGGCUUACCGAGGAACUGCCGUCCAAACUGCUUCGCUUGAGUUCGGGAGAGGGAUGCGGAAUUCCAGGUGUAGCGGUGAAAUGCGUAGAUAUCUGGAGGAACACCGGUGGCGAAGGCGGCAUCCUGGACCGACACUGACGCUGAGGAGCGAAAGCCAGGGGAGCAAACGGG